GAUGGCUCCACCUAAUCCCCUCCCAAAGUCCCUAACUUUUCAUACACAUUGGAUGCUAGGAUUUCAACAUACGUAUUUUGGGAAGGAACACAUUCACAUCACAGCAGACAUAAUUUUCUGAAAAUAGGAUUGAUAAUUAAAACCUAAAGAUUAUGACCCAGUCAUUUAUGAAUAUAGAUGUGAACAAACAAUACAGAUUUCGUACAUUAAUAAAAGUGCCCAGCUGUAUCAUGGGUAGUUACAUUUUAAUAAAUCUGAUUACAUCAUUCUGGUAAAACCAGUAAAAUGAUAUUUAUUAAUCCCAGUAACACACCAAGAGACAUUUUGAAAUUGACCCAGGUCAAAAAAAAGCAGUUAAAAAUCGGGGAAAAAAAGGAUGAUUUCUCAACAUGAAAACAGGUAUCUUAGACCAAUAGCCAAUAUUGUGUUUAAUGGACACAUAAUAGAAGUUAAAAAUAUAACAAAGAUGGCUUCCACAACCAUUUCCCAUUAACAUUGCUGUAAAAGUUGAAACCAGUUCAGUUAGGAAUAAAACAAAUAUGAUAGGUGUAGCUAACUGGAAAGGAAGAAAUAAAGUUAACAAAGACUGAGUCUAGUACUGCCUCAUUUGUAGGUGAUUCCUCACUGAUUUUAUUCAGUUCCAGUUUAACAAGGUUAGGUAGAGGUUUGGUUUUGUUUUGGAUAUGCCCUCAUGUUCAUGUAUCCACGUUCCCUUCCUCCUUUCUUCAGGAGGACUCAUAGAUUACUAGGACCAUUGAAUGACAGCCUGCUUACAAAUGAAAAAUCAAGGAAACUUUCUCUCUUCCAGAACCCUGAAAGUUCUUGUCCUUCCUUUUUCUGUCCAUUCUCCCUCUCUAGUGUGACUUUGCAUUCUAAUCUCCUUUUCUCUCCCUCCCUCCUUUCCUCUCUCCUUUUCUCCUUUCUUCCUUCCUGCUAUUCCUCCCUCCCUCCUUCCUAAAAUCAACUAUGGGUAUGCCUUCAAGAAAUUGUUUGGCAAUUUAGACCUAAGAGUUUGGUUUUGAUUUUGCAUCUAUGUUCUUGAAUGAAUAUGAACUGGUGAUGAAAACAAAAAUGGCCAACUAACAGUAAGUGAGAAAGAAGAAAGGAUGGGAUAUGCCCAGAAAACAACAAAAUAAAUACGUAAGACCUAAGCCUGCUAUAUUUACAACCAGGAUUCUAUACAUAACAUAAAGAAUUACUUGACAGGCACUUAAGAAAUGUUAGCUACUAAUUCUUGAGAACCUCCUCUGGGUACCAGUUAAUCACUUUGAAGCAUUAUUAGUCUUUCAUUCACUUUGAACAUAAUUAAAAUUUUAUGGUGAAUAAAUGUCAUUUAAUUUAUCUAGCUUGGGACCUACAACUACCUUUUGUUUGGUGUUGGAUACCAUGUGGGGGAGUGUAUUUUCCCAAAAGCACCAAUUUCUUUUAAAAAGUAAGAAAACAUUUGUGUUGGCCAAGAAACAGUUGUCUGUGGCAAGUCUAAUAAGAUGUGUAUGUGGGAAUCUGUAAGAAAAGAAACAAGCACCUUUAGCAAUAGAGCUAAAGUUGCUAUCUAGAGUCAAAUGCUUUAUUCCUGGGGAGACAGGUCUAAGGGAAAUAGUUGUCUCUGGCUGAAAGUCAGCAUGUACAAAACAGAGUAAUGAAAUGGUCAUUGGGGCCAGAUAAAAGAAGGCCUUGAAUGUCAAUUAGGGUUCUUGAAAUUUAGUUUACAGGAAAUUGAGGAACCAAAUUUAAAAUGAAAAAAUUUGAGGAAGAAGAAUGUUAUGUAAAGCAUGUAAUAUGACCACCUUGCCAAGUGUCCUUAGCUUUCUUGUCUUUCCGGUAACUAACCUCUUUGAAAAUGUUCUAGGUCAAAAUUUUCCCAUGAUAUUUCAAAUCAACAGAUCACUUGUGUAAGGUUAAAAUCAUACUUGACCAUCAUGGUGGAAAAGUACACAUACACACAACAAAAACAGCUCCAAAAACAACAUUUUGGCUUUUCUUGUAAAAGCACAGCACCUUGAAUGUCUUUCAUAAGGUUCCAAAACUAUCUCACAUUACUAAAAGAGAGGGAAAGAGCCUAUUAUCAGGUUUUCAUGUUAAAUGUUAUUUAAUGACUACAUUUGUGAAAGAAACAAAUAGUUCAGUUCAAAUGGAAAAGCAAAUGUGCCAUUAGGUAAUAAUUUCAGUUCUUCAAAAAUGUUCACUUGAUUUUUGUAGUGGAUUUAGCAGUAAUCAUUAAUAAUUUUAAGUGAGUUGGUGAAAGUAAAAGGUGGAAUUUUAAAACACAUGGCUCAGACUGAUGGCAGUGAACCACUGAUAACUCAGCAUCACUAAAAGAUAGCCAGCUAGUUCAUGGGCUUUUUUCCUGUGAUCCAGUUAUGAAGAACAUACUACUGCCAGCCAAGUCUUCUUGCUCCCC
ensembl:lncRNA